UUUUAGAUGGUGGAAUUGCCAGUCUGUCCGUGAGCUGAGCUGUGGCUGCAGGGCACUGUCAGAUGGUGGAAUUGCCAGUCUGUCCGUGAGCUGAGCUGUGGCUGCAGGGCACUGUCAGAUGGUGGAAUUGCCAGUCUGUCCGUGAGCUGAGCUGUGGCUGCAGGGCACUGUCAGGUAUUGUUGGCUAUGGUGGAAUUGCCAGUCUGUCCGUGAGCUGAGCUGUGGCUGCAGGGCACUGUCAGAGACCGACCAAACUGGAGAAUUUGAAUAAGAGAGGAAGCGAUGCACAACAAAUGCAGGGAGAAAUGGUGGAAUGGUGAUGGAAUCCUGCAGUGGUUCGGGUUGCAAGGGACCUUAAAGCUCAUGCAGCCCCACUCCCUGAGAAGGGACACCUUCCCCUAGCCCAGGGGAAAACGCUGGAGCAGAGGGAGGGAAGGAGCAGGGAGAACUGCAGCCCCCAGCAGCUCGGUCAGUGCUGGAUGGACUCGGGGCUGGGAAAGGUCACUCAGUGUGAGGGCAGGGACACUGAGCUGGUCCAAGUGUGGCAAGAAGAACAAGUGGACCGUGAAGGUUUGGAGCAGUCUAGAAGGUUCCUCGUGCCUAAAGGAUCCGGGCAAGUGAAGUCCUGGAAGAGUACGGAAUAAUGAAAAGUGCCUCAGUUCUCCUGAAGCUCAACUUUGUAAAAUAUUCAUGAAGAUAGAAUUCUACUGUACUGAGCUGUUGGGUCCCAAAUCCUCUUGGAGGGAGAGGCAGAAACUCCCACUGCUGCUGGGGCUGAACUGCUUGCAGUGACCAGCAUUGGCACGAGAGGAAAUACCUCAGAGGGGCUCACCUCCAACUAAGCUCUGAAUAUGUCCGGAGGUUUCAGCGGGGAGAAAAGAGCAGUGGAAGAAAAGCACCCUAAACAGUAGCCAGUGGGGAUCAUCGGGUUUUGCAGCCAAGAAAAACAAGGACAGAGAUGAGGGAAUCGGUUUCCAAUUAAUAAUGAUUUGAUAGGUGUACGAAUCAUUGCCGGCCGUUUACAGUUCCCGCCGCGCGCUGCGCACUUCGCGCCGGCCCCGGCACCGGCUCGCGCUGGUACCGCCCCCGGAUCGGGCCGGCCACGCCCCCCGGCUCGAGCCGGCCGCGCCCCCCGGAUCGGGCUGGCCACGCCCCGCGGCUCGCACCGCCUCUGCCCGCGCCCCCAAGUCACUUGCCCGCCUGAGGAGCCAACAUAAGGGACAGCGUCAGGUGUGCCCAGUGAGGAGGAUGAGGGGUGGGACAGCCUCAGGUGUGCCCAGUGAGGAUGACGAGGGGCAGGCCCUGCUGGGUGGUAUCUGGGGCUUUUGGAGAGGGUGCUUCUUUCAGUGGAGAUUUUCUGCAGAGGAGCAGUCGGUUCCAAGGAGCGUCUAGAGCAGUGACAAUGAGAGCGUCUCACCGGGACGGGGCCAAGCACCUGAGGUACCUGGAUCAUCGCUCAAGGAAGGGGCCGAGGGAUGUGCCGGGGAGCAGCGCACGUGAACAGCUCUUCUUUUGCAGGAAAUAACUCCCGUCAGCAGCACCAUUCCGACUGAAGCGGCAGAUGGAGUUGUUCCUGUGGUGAGGGCCAGUGGAAUUGCAGGAAAAUGGAAGAGGGCGGAGCCUGUAGAGCAAGGCAAGCCAAGAAACCUUUGCUUUGAAGGAGAAAAUCUGGAAAUUGGGAAGGAAGAAGCGAAGCCACCUGAGCCCUCCCUGAGCCACAGGCAGUCCAUGAAGUGCCUUCCUGGGAACGGUAGGACGGUGAGGACUGCGGAUUGCUCCCUACGGAGCAAUGUGUGGAUCUGCCCUGCAGAAACUCCCGGAAUUGACGUUGACACCCGGCUGAUGGAUUUGACACCCCAGCCCGUCCGUUCCUGCCCAGCCGUUGGGUCCCUGUCAGGCGGUGGGACUCCCAGCCUGUCCAGGGGGCUGUGGCAUGGCAACUGCCCAGAGCCAGAGGAUUGAAAGGGACUAACCCAGCGAGGUGAAGAAACAAGGAAGAAGGGAAGUGAGGCAGCAGCCAAGCAGCACCAAGUUCCUCUGUCAACAGCAGCUCUUCUUGUGCAGGAAAUAACUCCCAUCAGCAGCACCAUCCCGACUGAAGCGGCAGAUGGAGUUGUUCCUGUGGUGAGGGCCAAUGGAAUUCCAGGAAAAUGGAAGAGGGCAGAGCCUGUAGGUAUUAGCCCUAAGCUGCGAUCUGUGUGGGUAAGGCAACCCCAGUAUCCUUGAAAAUCAGAAUGCCAGCAGUAGAUUUAAAAGAUGCCUUUUGCUGCGUGUCCCAGGAGCAAGGCAAGCCAAGAAACCUUUGCUUUUGAAGGAGAAGCUCUGGAAAUUGGGAAGGAAGAAGCGAAGCCACCUGAGCCCUCCCUGAGCCACAGGCAGUCCAUGAAGUGCCUUCCUGGGAACGGUACAACAGUGAGGACUCCGGAUUGCUCCCUACGGAUGUGUAGAUCUGCCCUGCAGAAACUCCCGGAAUUGACGGUGACGCCUCGACCUAUGAAUUGGACGCCCCAGCCCGUCCGUUCCUGCCCAGCCGCUGGGUCCCUGUCAGGCGGUGGGACUCCCAGCCUGUCCAGAGGGCUGUAGCGUGGAAAGUGCCCAGAGCUGAGGCAGAGGAUUGAAAGGGUCUAAGCCAGCGAGGGGAAGAAACAAGGAAGAAGGGAAGUGAGGCAGCAGCCAAGCAGCACCAAGUUCCUCUGUCAGCAGGUGAGUUGUCUCGAGGUUCCUAAGGCGGGCACUCAGGACUUUGGAUGCUCCAGACAGAGAAGACCUCGGAGGCCCCUGGAUGAAGCCCCUCAGAAUCUUUAUCAGGGUAGGUGUGUAUGGUUGUAAGUGCUGUAGGAGCUGAUGGCCAGGACCCCUGGUGGGCUGGGAUCACUGCAGGGUGUUGUCAGCAAGGAAUGCCUGGCUUCUAAAACUCCCCAGCUGAGUCUUAGAGGCUUCUUUGUUUUCAGGCAGCCAAAUUGGCCCCAGGCAGGGACUCUGAGCCUGCUCUCCUGGUGUGCCCAGGGAUCUCUGGGCCUUCACGCCGGCACCGAGAUGUUCUCGGGAAGGCCCUCAGAUCCCCGGAGCAGUCUGGGACACGGGCAAGAUCCCCCUGCAUUUCGGAAGCAGAUUG